rnacentral:misc_RNA from 1 species
AACGCAUAUUGCGCUCUCUGGUAUUCCGGAGAGCAUGCUUGUUUGAGUAUCAGUAAACCCCCUCAAAUCUUUUUUUUUUGUGAAAAAGAUUUGGAUUUGAGCGAUCCUAACGUAUUUUUUUUUUUUUUAAAAAAUAAUAUGGCAGGUCUCUUGAAAUAAAGGUACAGCUGAACUUUCUUCUGAGCUAAAAGCAUAUUUAUUUAGUCCUGCUUUGCGGCUGGAUUAUUACUUUUGCUGCAGCUAACAUAAAGGUUGAUUGUUCUUAUGCUGACUGGUACAGGAAAUUUAUCAGUGAAGCGUGUGUGCAAGCGCGUGCGAAACUGUGAAUCUCGAUCUCAAAUCAAGUAAGACUACCCGCUGAACUUAA